AUUUUUAUGGUGUAAAUAAACACAUUACAUUUUCACUGUAAAGCUGAAAAACUUUUUCUAAAAAUU
rnacentral:tRNA from 1 species